rnacentral:rRNA from 1 species
AGAGUUUGAUCCUGGCUCAGGACGAACGCUGGCGGCGCGCCUAACACACGCAAGUCGAACGAGCGAGAGAGAGCUUGCUUUCUCGAGCGAGUGGCGAACGGGUGAGUAACGCGUGAGGAACCUGCCUCAAAGAGGGGGACAACAGUUGGAAACGACUGCUAAUACCGCAUAAGCCCACGACCCGGCAUCGGGUAGAGGGAAAAGGAGAAAUCCGCUUUGAGAUGGCCUCGCGUCCGAUUAGCUAGUUGGUGAGGUAACGGCCCACCAAGGCGACGAUCGGUAGCCGGACUGAGAGGUUGAACGGCCACAUUGGGACUGAGACACGGCCCAGACUCCUACGGGAGGCAGCAGUGGGGAAUAUUGCACAAUGGGGGAAACCCUGAUGCAGCGACGCCGCGUGGAGGAAGAAGGUCUUCGGAUUGUAAACUCCUGUUGUUGAGGAAGAUAAUGACGGUACUCAACAAGGAAGUGACGGCUAACUACGUGCCAGCAGCCGCGGUAAAACGUAGGUCACAAGCGUUGUCCGGAAUUACUGGGUGUAAAGGGAGCGCAGGCGGGAAGGCAAGUUGGAAGUGAAAUCCAUGGGCUCAACCCAUGAACUGCUUUCAAAACUGUUUUUCUUGAGUAGUGCAGAGGUAGGCGGAAUUCCCGGUGUAGCGGUGGAAUGCGUAGAUAUCGGGAGGAACACCAGUGGCGAAGGCGGCCUACUGGGCACCAACUGACGCUGAGGCUCGAAAGUGUGGGUAGCAAACAGGACUAGAUACCCUGGUAGUCCACACUGUAAACGAUGAUUACUAGGUGUUGGAGGAUUGACUCCUUCAGUGCCGCAGUUAACACAAUAAGUAAUCCACCUGGGGAGUACGACCGCAAGGUUGAAACUCAAAGGAAUUGACGGGGGCCCGCACAAGCAGUGGAGUAUGUGGUUUAAUUCGACGCAACGCGAAGAACCUUACCAAGUCUUGACAUCCUGCGACGCACAUAGAAAUAUGUGUUUCCUUCGGGACGCAGAGACAGGUGGUGCAUGGUUGUCGUCAGCUCGUGUCGUGAGAUGUUGGGUUAAGUCUCGCAACGAGCGCAACCCUUAUGGUCAGUUACUACGCAAGAGGACUCUGGCCAGACUGCCGUUGACAAAACGGAGGAAGGUGGGGAUGACGUCAAAUCAUCAUGCCCUUUAUGACUUGGGCUACACACGUACUACAAUGGCGUUAAACAAAGAGAAGCAAGACCG